rnacentral:lncRNA from 1 species
AGCCAGUCUUCUUGACAAAGUAAACCUCAAGUGAGAGAUGAGGGAAGGCAUUCAUGAACCUUCUAUUUGCAGGUGUAUGGACAGUACUGGACAAGAGUUAGAAAGAGUCCUCUAAUGCUGCAACUGGAUGGCUAACAGUUGAUGGAAAAUCCCUACAAUUAAAACUGAAACGGCAAAAGAUAAUCACUUCUGAAAGACAUCCAUUAAGAAGCAGAGGUCACAAGAGAAAGAAUUUAUAUUUUAUCUUUAAAAGAAGAUAGUGCAUUUGAUUGGAAGAAAAUUCAGAGUUAAACAAGUAAACCUAUAUCUAAACAUCUGUCUGAUAAGGUUUUUCAUUUUGUUUUGUUUUUGUGUGAAUGUGGUAGCUAUUGGUGCAACCGUGAGAUUGAUGUGCCCUACUGUUACUGCAUUGAGGUCAGUCCUUUUCUUUAUAUAUACAGCAAUGUUUGCUUUACUGAAAUUAAUACAUUAAUUUUAGGGACAUGGGUAAUUAGAAAUUCGAUGUCCUCUUUCCAUCCAUACACAUAAAUGUGUUGUGGUGUGUGUGUGUGUGUGUGUGUGUGUGUGUGUGUGUGAUCUGACUGUAUUAGUGAUUGAACAUCCAUCCUGACUUCUGCUAUGUAAGAUAUUCUUUAAGGAUUAUUGGUUUAUCCAAAAAUAAACUGAUGCUCUUUAUCUCUUCUGAGUGAUAU